GGCGCCGCGCCACUCCACGAUAUGGCCGGCGUACAUCCAAAGAGGAGGUCAAACUUUUCCGCAUGGCUCGCGGUGCGGCAGUGUGGAGACCUGUCGCAAUGGGACUGCGAUAAAGCACGCAGCCCUGAGGCAGAUUUGCAGAGGCAUUUCUGUCAGAGUCCGAACACAUGGCA
rnacentral:ncRNA from 1 species